rnacentral:lncRNA from 1 species
CCUGGGCCAAGACAGCAGCUGCUGAACCUGGUGGCUGCCCUGCUCCUGUGGCUGCAGCCAGUCAGGAAGCUUCCAGGCACAGUACUUCAAUGAGGAUGGAGACUUGCUUGUCUUUAGUGAUAAGUAACUGACUAUGACUAUGUCCAAUGUGAAGGAUGACAUCUUCCAUAUCUACAUUAAAGAAAAGGAGUGCAGAAGGAAACACUGCCUCCUAUGUGUUCAGGGGGUAACCUGAAACACAGUGCACCCCAACUGUGAUCUGCGAUGGUUGU